rnacentral:lncRNA from 1 species
UCGUGAAUAGAAUCCCAUGAAUAGUAAACCCGACUCAAAAAGGUAGAAAUUCCACAAUAAAAUUCAUACCAAUAUUUCGGUAUAAUGAUAUUGAAAGAAUAAUAUUUUUUUAAGCUUAUAAACAAUUUAUUUUAAUUGUUUACACUUUACUAAAUAAUGCAUUUAAUCAUUCUAAAAUGCCAAACUCAUAAGAUUUCAUCAGCAAUAACCAAAAUCCUCAUCAAAAAUCUGCAUAUACCUCAUGUAGGAUUCUCAAGCCAUAAAAUCCUAUUUUCUAAUUUUCU